UGGGGAAUUUUGNACAAUGGGCGCAAGCCUGAUCCAGCCAUGCCGCGUGUCUGAAGAAGGCCUUCGGGUUGUAAAGGACUUUUGUCAGGGAAGAAAAGGCUGUUGCUAAUAUCGACAGCUGAUGACGGUACCUGAAGAAUAAGCACCGGCUAACUACGUGCCAGCAGCCGCGGUAAUACGUAGGGUGCGAGCGUUAAUCGGAAUUACUGGGCGUAAAGCGAGCGCAGACGGUUACUUAAGCAGGAUGUGAAAUCCCCGGGCUCAACCUGGGAACUGCGUUCUGAACUGGGUGACUAGAGUGUGUCAGAGGGAGGUAGAAUUCCACGUGUAGCAGUGAAAUGCGUAGAGAUGUGGAGGAAUACCGAUGGCGAAGGCAGCCUCCUGGGAUAACACUGACGUUCAUGCUCGAAAGCGUGGGUAGCAAACAGGAUUAGAUACCCUGGUAGUCCACGCCCUAAACGAUGUCAAUUAGCUGUUGGGCAACUUGAUUGCUUAGUAGCGUAGCUAACGCGUGAAAUUGACCGCCUGGGGAGUACGGUCGCAAGAUUA
rnacentral:rRNA from 1 species